GUCGCGUCUGUCGUGAAAGUCCGGGGCUUAACCCCGGAUCUGCGGUGGGUACGGGCAGACUAGAGUGCAGUAGGGGAGACUGGAAUUCCUGGUGUAGCGGUGGAAUGCGCAGAUAUCAGGAGGAACACCGAUGGCGAAGGCAGGUCUCUGGGCUGUAACUGACGCUGAGGAGCGAAAGCAUGGGGAGCGAACAGGAUUAGAAACCCUNGUAGUC
rnacentral:rRNA from 1 species